GAUGAAGAACGUAGCGAACGUGCGAAACGUAAUGUGAAUUGCAGAAUUCAGUGAAUCAUCGAAUCUUUGAACGCAUCUUGCGCUCCUUGGUAUUCCGAGGAGCAUGCCUGUUUGAGUGUCGUGAAUACUCUCAACUUCAACCCUUUUUUCGGAAAGGGAGGAAGGUUGGACUUGGGUGUUUGUUGAAGUGCGAGCUUCGACUCAUCCUAAAUGCAUUAGCGAUCUGCCUCGAUCACACACAAUGUGAUAAUUAAAACUAACGCAUUGUUUAAUGAUCAAGUCGAGACUGCUUCUAACUGUCGCAAGACAAUAACGUGCAUACAUUUGUGCAUGUCAUUUGACCUCAAAUCAGGUAGGACUACCCGCUGAACUUAAGCAUAUCAAUAAGCGGAGGA
rnacentral:misc_RNA from 1 species